GUCUGUCAAACUGAUAAAUAUAUUAGUUAAGUCAUAACAAGGUAAUUGUAGAAGAAUCUGCAGUUG
rnacentral:rRNA from 1 species